ensembl:lncRNA
GCAUGAGACUUAGACAUCUGGGAACUCCAAGCCAGGUUUACUGGAAAGAGAGGGCUGAGGUCUCCACUUCUCAGCUGGUUGGACAGUGACCUAGUGAUCCAGGAAGGGGAGAAGAGGAAAAGGGCCACCAUCAAGGCCAUGGCCUUGUGCACUGGUACCCAGGCCUCCACUGGGUGGCUACCAAGGAUCACCCCUCACAAAGCCUCCCUGGGCCCACGGAAAGCUCUGUGUUCCUCAUUUUUGCAAGCCGCCCAGUGUUUUAAGUAUUCAGAUUUGAACGUUUGAUCCAUCUGGAUUUUAUUUUGGUGUUAAGCGUGAGCCAACUUCUACUUUUCCAAAUGGCCGGCCAGUCGUCCUAACGUCGUUUGAUUGAAAAAAGACUGAAAAACCUUUUCCGGGGUUUGAAGAGACCACUCCACCAGCACGCUUCAAGCUAGCGCGUUUGCCGGGGCCCGCGCGGUCCAAGGACCCCUCGCCGCCAGGUUUCCGCGGCCCAUCUGCCCGGCCAGAUCCAGUCGGAGGAGGCGAAGGGAAGGUGGUGGAGUGGAUAUUCCGCUGCUGAGAACUAUUCCACUCCUACCAGCCGCCGACCGACCACUAACCCCCUUUUCCCACCCUUGCGCUCAGGACAAACCCCAGACACCACUACCGCGACUUCACCUCCACCCUCCGAGGACAAAGCCCCCUGACCCACGUCGAGGAAGUCUCUCUUACCUCCCAUCUCCUCCCUCUCAGCUCCCCGCCCCCCCCAACCCUAGUCCCUCCUCCCGGGUGGUCCCAGGAACGGGAGGGGACUUUCUACUAGGGUAAUUUAAAUAAAAGGUGUGUGCUCUGGUUCUAUUUGCAUAGAGGCGGGGCCUCUAAAGCCGACCUCCACCUCGCUCCGAACGACCCAGGCGGAGAGAACCACCCGGAGACUUAACUUGCAGGGGGCGGGGCCUGCCUCUUUAAGUGGAGCCGGGUGCCACUUCCCGUUCCA